AUAUGGUCAUAACAAAUGGGAUUAAGUUUAUCUCCUUGCUAUAUAUUUCUGUGGAAUCUAUGCCUUCCUACUCUCUGUGAUUAGCACAUGUAAUUUGGGAAUAUAAAAGUGAAAAUGUUCAUCAUGUGUGCAGGAACGGAGAAUAAACUGAGCUCUCUCUCUGACCUGGAACAGCAGUACCGAGCCUUGCGCAAGUACUAUGAAAACUGUGAGGUUGUCAUGGGCAACCUGGAGAUAACCAGCAUUGAGCACAACCGGGACCUCUCCUUCCUGCGGGUAAAGCUGUGGCUUUCUUUCUCUUCUUUGUGAAUGGACAGUGGCGUCAUGAUGCAUACAGGCAGACCUGUGUGCUGAUACCUGGAAGGGGUGCUCUUCUGCCUGGCAGGCACUGUGACUAUAGGCAAAAGAUAAGAGAUAGCGAAACGCACCCAGGAAAAGAACAAG
rnacentral:lncRNA from 1 species